AUGCUCGCUUCAGUAUCACGUAUACUAAAAUUGGAACAAUGUAGAAAAGAUUAGCAUGGCCCCUGCACAAGGAUGACACACAAGUUAGUGAAGUGUUCCAUAGGUUU